rnacentral:rRNA from 1 species
UACGGAGGGUGCAAGCGUUAAUCGGAAUUACUGGGCGUAAAGCGCGCGUAGGCGGCUUGAUAAGUCGGAUGUGAAAGCCCUGGGCUCAACCUAGGAACUGCAUUCGAUACUGUCAAGCUAGAGUGUGGGAGGGGGUGGUGGAAUUCCCGGUGUAGCGGUGAAAUGCGUAGAUAUCGGGAGGAACAUCAGUGGCGAAGGCGACCGCCUGGCCCAACACUGACGCUGAGGUGCGAAAGCGUGGGUAGCAAACAGG